CAGCAGCCGCGGUAAUACGAAGGGUGCAAGCGUUAAUCGGAAUUACUGGGCGUAAAGCGUGCGUAGGCGGUGAGUUAAGUCUGCUGUGAAAUCCCCGGGCUCAACCUGGGAAUGGCAGUGGAUACUGGCUCGCUAGAGUGUGUCAGAGGAUGGUGGAAUUCCCGGUGUAACGGUGAAAUGCGUAGAGAUCGGGAGGAACAUCAGUGGCGAAGGCGGCCAUCUGGGACAACACUGACGCUGAGGCACGAAAGCGUGGGGAGCAAACAGGAUUAGAUACCCCUGUAGUCCCUGUCUCUUAUAC
rnacentral:rRNA from 1 species